rnacentral:tRNA from 1 species
GGCCUCGUAGCUCAGUUGGAUAUAGUGUUGGCUGUACUAAAGUCUUCUCCUUGGUGGUCUGGGUUCGAAUCCCACCGAGGCUG